AUGGCAAUGCCUCAGGGACGCGCGCGCGUCCUGGCCACCCUUUCCCUUUCCACCCGUGGGCUCUCAGUUUUGCUGCACAUAGAGGUGGCGAGCCGAGUGGCAGCCGCUCCCUCCUUCUCGCCCCGCGAGCGACCAGGGCAACCUCGACACCCGGCGCGCGCGGGCCCUUUAAGAGCUACACCAGCCGAGCUGCAGUUUGACAUCAGCCGGCCGGCGAGGGCGCGCCUGGAGCCGAAGCACGUGCCAGGAUGUUUUAUUGCCGCCGCGGCUGCGGCCGGGCCGGGAGGAUGUGUGUGUGCGUGCGUGUGUGAGUGUGUGUGCGCGCGCCCCGGGGGCAGGGAGGCGGGGGGCGGCGGCGGGCGGCGGAGCGCGGGGGCUGGUUCCUGGUCCCCGGGAGAAGCCAAGAAGGUCCUGAGUUCAAGAGAAACAGGUGUCUAAACAGAAGUAAAAUCCUGUGGAAGUUUAGGAUAAUUGAAUUACUCGCAAAUUGGAGUAUCCUGGAAAACUUCCUGGAGGAAGUGGCCUGUGCUUUGUAUCAGGAAAAAUAGCCUGGAGUCCAACUAAGGAAUCAGUGUGCUUCUGACCGAAUUUACCUUCCAAGCCUCAUUUCCAUCUUCCAGAACAGCCUUCAAGUCUGCAGCCAAACCUGUACCUCAUGGCAGGAUGGAAAAGUGGUGAUGACAGAAAAUUGUCUGUUGCUUUUGGAAAAGAAAGGAAAAAAAAAGUGACGUUUCCCUGUGUUUGACAUCCUCUUCCUUAAAGGUAUCAGAAUGGUGCGUGGGUUUGGUUUGAAGCUAAAGAAAGGAGAAAGAGCCAGAGAAGAAGAAAAAAAGAUUCCCUGCAGCCUGCCAGGGACGUGGUAACUGCCCUGCCAAGAGUGAUCCUGGGAGGGCUAUUGAAAGAGCUCUGAGGCCUCCUUGGCAUAUGGAAGUUCCCAGGCUAGGGGGGUGGAAUCCGAGCCACAUCCGUGACCUACACCGCAGCUCACGACAACGCUGGAUCAUCAACCCACUGAGUGAGGCCAGAGAUCGAACCCGAGUUUUCCUGCACACCAGUUAGGUUUGUUACCACUGAGCCGCAACAGGAACUCCCAGGAGCUUUAUGAGUGAAUGAACAAAUGCAUCAUUCCACCCCCACCUCACCGCCGCCACCCCGGGGGAGAGAGUCUACAGCUUUUAGCAGAAUCUCAAAGUUUUUUGUAACGCAGGAAGGUUGAGGAAGCUGAUCCAGGCAAUCUCGAUGUAUAAGUGGGUACUCUAAGGCCCAGAGAGGGCCAGGGACUGGUUCAGGCAACAUAGGGCAGAGUGGGGGCCAGAAGCCAGCUCGGAGUCCUUUGUACCAUUCCCCAGUGCUGUGGAUCUUGGGAAAUUUAGGGUGGGGUUUAUGGAGUUGGGAUCACCGCUAGAACUUGGAUUUAAAAUAGACACUUUAAUAAAGGUCCUUUGAGUCUCC
rnacentral:lncRNA from 1 species